rnacentral:rRNA from 1 species
UACGGGGGGGGGUAAGCGUUGUUCGGAAUUACUGGGCGUAAAGGGCUCGUAGGCGGCCAACUAAGUCAGACGUGAAAUCCCUCAGCUUAACUGGGGAACUGCGUCUGAUACUGGAUGGCUUGGAUUCGGGAGAGGAAUGCGGAAUUCCAGGUGUAGCGGUGAAAUGCGUAGAUAUCAGGAGGAACACCGGUGGCGAAGGCGGGUCUCUGGGCCGAUACUGACGCUGAGGAGCGAAAGCGUGGGGAGCGAACAGG